rnacentral:lncRNA from 1 species
UAUAUUAAGCUUACUAAAUCCCUGGUCAUUUUGUUUUUGUCUUGCUGUCAAAAUCAAGAAUUAUAUUAAUCUAGGUAAAAAAAAAAAUAGAAUUUGCAGUUCGGACAAAAUAGAGAUAAUACACUUUAAUUUUUUUUAAUAACUUUUUCAAAUCAACUUGGAUUUUUAUCAAACUAUGUAGCUAUCUUAGAUAUAUAUUAAGCUUACUAAAUCCCUGGUCAUUUUUUUUUUUUUUGUAUUGCUGUCAAAAUCAAGAAUUAAAUUAAUCUAGGUAAAAAAAAAUAGAAUUUUCAGUUCGGACAAAAUAGAGAUAGUACACUUUAAUUUUUUUAAUAACUUUUUCAAAUCAACUUGGAUUUCCAUCAAACUAUGUAGCUAUCUUACAUAUAUAUUAAGCUUACUGAAUCCCAGGUCAUUUUAUUUUUUGUUGUAUUGCUGUCAAAUUCAAGAAUUAA